rnacentral:rRNA from 1 species
ACGGGAGGCAGCAGUGGGGAAUAUUGCACAAUGGGGGAAACCCUGAUGCAGCGACGCCGCGUGAGUGAAGAAGUUAUUCGUAAUGUAAAGCUCUAUCAGCAGGGAAGAAAAUGACGGUACCUGACUAAGAAGCCCCGGCUAACUACGUGCCAGCAGCCGCGGUAAUACGUAGGGGGCAAGCGUUAUCCGGACUUACUGGGUGUAAAGGGAGCGUAGACGGCUUUGUAAGUCUGAUGUGAAAGGCAGGGGCUCAACUCCUGGACUGCAUUGGAAACUACAGGGCUUGAGUGCCGGAGAGGUAAGCGGAAUUCCUAGUGUAGCGGUGAAAUGCGUAGAUAUUAGGAGGAACACCAGUGGCGAAGGCGGCUUACUGGGCGGUAACUGACGUUGAGGCUCGAAAGCGUGGGGAGCAAACAGGAUUAGAUACCCUGGUA